AGUGAGUCCAGGGAAAUUCUAGUGUGUAAGAGAAAUUUGUGCACAUCUGGAAAUGUAAAGAUACAUUUUAGCACUAGGAAACUGAAGAGUAUGAAAAUACCUGGGUGUCUUCUACACAACAAAAUAAAGUAGAUGACUAAGACAAAUGAG
rnacentral:lncRNA from 1 species